GUGCUCUCUNCNGAGCACNUAUACUAAAAUUGGAAUGAUACAGAGAAGAUUAGCAUGACCCCUGCGCAAGGAUGACAUGCACAUUUGUGAAGGGUUCCAUAUUGAU
rnacentral:snRNA from 1 species